GCUGGGCGUGGUUGCGCACGCCUGUAAUCCCAGCUACUCAGGAGGCUGAGGCAGGAGAAUUGCUUGAACCCAGGAGGCAGAGGUUGCAGUGAGCCGAGAUCGCGCCACUGCACUCCAGCCUGGGCGACAGAGCAAGACUCUGUCUCAA
rnacentral:SRP_RNA from 1 species